rnacentral:rRNA from 1 species
GGGAACUGAAACAUCUAAGUACCCCGAGGAAAAGAAAUCAACCGAGAUUCCCCCAGUAGCGGCGAGCGAACGGGGAGGAGCCCAGAGCCUGAAUCAGCAUGUGUGUUAGUGGAAGCGUCUGGAAAGGCGCGCGAUACAGGGUGACAGCCCCGUACACAAAAGCGCAUGUGCUGUGAGCUCGAUGAGUAGGGCGGGACACGUGGUAUCCUGUCUGAAUAUGGGGGGACCAUCCUCCAAGGCUAAAUACUCCUGACUGACCGAUAGUGAACCAGUACCGUGAGGGAAAGGCGAAAAGAACCCCGGCGAGGGGAGUGAAAAAGAACCUGAAACCGUGUACGUACAAGCAGUGGGAGC